GUUUACUUAGCUCAAUGGUUAGAGCAUCACUCAUGAAUGCUGAUGUGGUGGGUUCAAGUCUCACAGUAUGCA
rfam:Puccinia sorghi strain RO10H11247 Scaffold_1413, whole genome shotgun sequence.